GACGAACGCUGGCGGCGUGCUUAACACAUGCAAGUCGAACGAAGAGCGAUGGACGCUUGCUUCUAUCAAUCUUAGUGGCGAACGGGUGAGUAACGCGUAAUCAACCUGCCCUUCAGAGGGGGACAACAGUUGGAAACGACUGCUAAUACCGCAUACGAUCUGACCUCGGCAUCGAGGAUAGAUGAAAGGUGGCCUCUACAUGUAAGCUAUCACUGAAGGAGGGGAUUGCGUCUGAUUAGCUAGUUGGAGGGGUAACGGCCCACCAAGGCGAUGAUCAGUAGCCGGUCUGAGAGGAUGAACGGCCACAUUGGGACUGAGACACGGCCCAGACUCCUACGGGAGGCAGCAGUGGGGAAUCGUCCGCAAUGGACGAAAGUCUGACGGAGCAACGCCGCGUGAGUGAUGACGGCCUUCGGGUUGUAAAGCUCUGUUAAUCGGGACGAAAGGCCUUUUUGCGAAUAGUGAGAAGGAUUGACGGUACCGGAAUAGAAAGCCACGGCUAACUACGUG
rnacentral:rRNA from 1 species